rnacentral:rRNA from 1 species
CCUACGGGAUGCAGCAGUGGGGAAUAUUGGACAAUGGGCGGAAGCCUGAUCCAGCCAUGCCGCGUGUGUGAAGAAGGCCUUUUGGUUGUAAAGCACUUUAAGCGGGGAGGAGGCUUUGCUGGUUAAUACCUAGUAAAGUGGACGUUACCCGCAGAAUAAGCACCGGCUAACUCUGUGCCAGCAGCCGCGGUAAUACAGAGGGUGCGAGCGUUAAUCGGAAUUACUGGGCGUAAAGCGCGCGUAGGCGGUUCGUUAAGUCAAAUGUGAAAUCCCCGAGCUCAACUUGGGAAUUGCAUUCGAUACUGGCGAGCUAGAGUAUGGGAGAGGAAGGUAGAAUACCAGGUGUUGCGGUGAAAUGCGUAGAGAUCUGGUGGAAUACCGAUGGCGAAGGCAGCCUUCUGGCCUAAUACUGACGCUGAGGUGCGAAAGCAUGGGGAGCAAACAGGAUUAGAUACCCCGGUAGUC